UCAACAAGAACUUGCUGAAACUGCAGUCAUUCUAUGCAGCUUAUGGAAUAAUAGGAACAAAAUUCUCUUGGUUAAUAAGAGAUUAACGUCUUCAAGCCUCAUCCGGCAGGGUUUUUGUAAUGUUGGCCAGCUUCUCACUUUGACCAAGUUAACUAGAGGGUUGGCUGCUUUGACCGAGUUGACUGAAGAAUCACUAGCUGUCCCCUUGUUGUCAGCUUUCUCCCUAAUUUUGUGGGUCUGGUCAGCUUCUUGGAAGUCCAUUUAUUGGCUUUCCGAGUUCUUCAGCCUUGUUUUCCUUGAAGCUUGGAGACGGAGAGAGUUCCUUCAUCGGCGAAUCAUCAGAGAGAGUUUUCUUUCACCGGCGGAUCAUCGGAGGGGUUAGUGGAGAAGAUCAAGUCUAGGAUCGGGGUGUGUCUUGGAGUCAUGUUUCCUGCUUUGGUAGUAUCUUUGUAGUGAACUUUCUUGUGAUUGACUCUAACAAGAUCAAAACUGAGGCCUUGCACUCAGUGGGGUCCAGUCCCAUUGGAUGCGGCCAAUCUGUCAGUGGGUCCGGCUGUGAGUCUGGGGCGUGAUAGUUUUCAAGUAUUGACUCAAUGGCAAGCCAUGCAAAUUCAUUCUAUAAUAUCUCCACAAGUAAAGGUUGGCCCUACUCGAUGGUUCAGACCCUUUAAUGGACGGUUCAAAUGUAAUGUGGAUGCAGAGAGUAGCUCUUGUCUAUCAUCAUCUUUCUAUUGGGCCAUUGUCAAGGAUGCCUCUGGUUCUUUCAAAGGUGCAGUUUAUGGAUUCAUUCCGUUCACUCAAGACUCGGGUUUGGCGGAGGCUCUUGCAUUGAGAGAGGCACUGCAAUGGUAUUAAGGAUUGGAUUUGACUAUGUUGAUUAUAUUCCAAGAGUACUGUCUUGAAUCUUUCUUAUAAGAAGGCUUAUUCUCAGGUCUCUCUAUUAGCCAUAGUGUAGAUGACUUCUUUGCUUUAGUGUCAUCAUUUUGUGAUGUUAAAAUCCCAAUUUGUUAGAAGGUAUGGUAACCACGCAGUAGAUGUAUUAGUAAAGGUUGUU